rnacentral:rRNA from 1 species
UACAGAGGGGGCAAGCGUUAUUCGGAAUUAUUGGGCGUAAAGGGCGCGUAGGCGGCUUGGCAAGUGGAAGGUGAAAUCCUCGGCUUAACCGAGGAACUGCCCUCCAAACUGCUUCGCUUGAGACCGGGAGAGGUGAGUGGAAUUCCCAGUGUAGCGGUGAAAUGCGUAGAUAUUGGGAGGAACACCAGUGGCGAAGGCGGCUCACUGGACCGGUACUGACGCUGAGACGCGAAAGCGUGGGGAGCGAACAGG